CCUACGGGUGGCUGCAGUGGGGAAUAUUGCACAAUGGGCGAAACCCUGAUGCAGCGACGCCGCGUGAGUGAAGAAGUAUCUCGGUACGUAAAGCUUCAUCAGCAGGGAAGAAAAUGACGGUACCUGACUAAGAAGCCCCGGCUAACUACGAGCCAGCAGCCGCGGGAAUACGUCGGGAGGAAGCGUUAAUCCGAUUUAUUGGGGGUAAAGGGGGCGUAGAGGGGAGCACAAGGCUGGAGUGAAAUCCGGGGGCUUAACCACGGAACUGCCUUGGAAACUGUGCGGCUGGAGUGCAGGAGGGGUAAGCGGAAUUCGUGGUGUAGCGGUGAAAUGCGUAGAUAUUAGGAGGAACACCGGUUGCGAAGGCAGCUUACUGGAGUGUAACUGACGUUGAGGCACGAAAGCGUGGGGAUCAAACAGGAUUAGAUACCCGAGUAGUC
rnacentral:rRNA from 1 species